rnacentral:rRNA from 1 species
AGUGAACGCUGGCGGCGUGCCUAAUACAUGCAAGUCGAACGGAGAUUAAGUAGCUUGCUCUUUAAUCUUAGCGGCGCACGGGUGAGUAAUAUAUAGCUAACUUGCCCAUUACUAAGGGACAACAGUUGGAAACGACUGCUAAUACCUUAUACUCCGUAUCUAUAUAAGUAGAUACGGGAAAGUUUUUCGGUAAUGGAUAGGGCUAUAUCGUAUCAGCUAGUUGGUAAGGUAAUGGCUUACCAAGGCUAUGACGCGUAACUGGUCUGAGAGGAUGAUCAGUCACACUGGAACUGAGACACGGUCCAGACUCCUACGGGAGGCAGCAGUAGGGAAUAUUGCUCAAUGGGGGAAACCCUGAAGCAGCAACGCCGCGUGGAGGAUGACACUUUUCGGAGCGUAAACUCCUUUUCUUGGGAAAGAAUUAUGACGGUACCCAAGGAAUAAGCACCGGCUAACUCCGUG